rnacentral:Y_RNA from 1 species
GGCUGGUCUGAUGGUAGUGGGUUAUCAGAACUUAUUAACAUUAGUGUCACUAAAGUUGGUAUUCAACCCCCCACUGCUAAAUUUGACUGGUUUUAA